rnacentral:tRNA from 1 species
UCCGAUAUGGUGUAGUGGCCAACAUGAUGCCCUCUCAUCUUGAUGAAAGGUUAGGCAUAGCCCCGAGUUCGAUUCUCGGUUUCGGAA